AUUGAACGCUGGCGGCAGGCUUAACACAUGCAAGUAGCACGAGUGGCAGACGGGUGAGUAAUGCUUGGGCAUCUGGCUUAUGGAGGGGGAUAAAUACGGGAAACGGUAGCUAAUACAGAGUACCCUAGAAUGAGCCAAAGUGGGAUUAGGUAGUUGGUGAGGUAAAGGAUAACCAAGCCGAAGAGUUCUAGCUGGUCUGAGAGGAUGACCAGCCACACUGGUACGUAGAGACGGCCCAUAUGACUACGGGAGGCAGCAGUGAGGAAUAUUGCGCAAUGGGGGCAACCUUACGCAGCCCUGCCGCGUGAAUGAAGAAGGCCUUCGGGUUGUAAAGUUCUGUCGGUAGCGAGGCGUUAACUACAGAAGAAGCACCGGCUAACUCCGUGCAAGCAGCCGCGGUAAUAC
rnacentral:rRNA from 1 species